AUGUAUCGUGCAUACAAAUCAGUGCAUCCUUAUUACGAAAAAUCUAAGUCCAUACCACAAGAUAAACUCGAUGCAGGAAAUAAAAUAGCGAAAAUGUUAGAAGAAGCAGAUAUGAAUAAGGAUGGUCGUUUAACAAGGGAUGAGAUCGAGAAGGCUCUAAAAAGUUUAGGUUCAUACUUCCCUGCAUGGAGAGCACAACGUUGUCUCAAGAAACUUGAUGCCAACAAUGAUGGCCAAAUUAGUGGUAACGAAAUUGACUAUUUGGUUGAUUAUCUUCUUAGUCAUGGUUUUGGAAAGAAAUAA